rnacentral:rRNA from 1 species
GAUGAACGCUAGCGGCGGGCUUAACACAUGCAAGUCGAGGGGCAGCGCGGGUUUUGGACUUGGCGGCGACCGGCGGACGGGUGAGUAACGCGUACGUUACCUACCUUUAACAGGAGGAUAGAUUUGCGAAAGCGAGAGUAAUACUCCGAUAAUAUUGUGAGGACGAGAGUUUUCGUGAUGAAAGGUUUACUUUAUGAGUGAGCUGGUUAGAGAUGGGCUGCGUCCUAUUAGUAGUGGUGAGGUAAAGGCUUACCAAGACUGCGAUAGGUA